UCUUAUUAAUCGUCAAUUUGCUUCUGUGC
rnacentral:piRNA from 1 species